GAACUAGUAAUAAUAUAAUUAGAACAUUUUCAAUCAUAUUUCAUUUUCUAGAUUAAAAUAAAGUUUGAAAUGAAAUCUCUUUUAGUUCUACUUCAUUUGUCGUUCGACAGUAGAGUGAAAAAUAAAAUUAUUCCAAAAUAUUUUAUAAAUAGAAACAACCCCCACCCCCAUAAGAAAAAUAUUUAUCUGGGUCCAUACAUAUUUCUAGACAUUAUUAAAAAGUAACUUUUCAAAUUUGUUUAUUUGUCACAACCACCUUUAUUUCAGAAAAUGACAUAAUUGAGUAAAGAUUAUAAUCAGUGAUUGGUCUAGUAAUUUUUAUAACUAGGGACAUUAUUAUAAACUUUGGGUUAGUCGGAAGCAUUUCAUGGAGUUUCAACUUAUCUCCUUUCAAAGAACCAAAAUUUUAAGCUUAUUACUUACUGCUUUCUUGUAGUGCACAAGUAUUUUCGCCGUAUCCUUGAUAUAUCCUGUGUGCAGCCCAUUUGUCCCUUAAAUGUAUCUUACACACAAAAGAAAUAUAUAUACAAAGAGCACUAAUGGUGUGCAGAGUUCAAGCAUGAGGGAUGCUAAGGCUAAUGUCCAAAGAGAAGAGAGACUCCGUUGGAUCUUCUCCGGGAGCUUUGAACAGAGUAGUCUCCACUGUGCAUCCCUGAAUCUGAGCUGUCAUCAAAAAUUUCAAAGCCAAACGCCGUUUUGCCUGAACUUCAUGACGUCGGAGUUAUACUAACCAGAGUCAUGAGCACUGCUUUGCUCCACUUUGAUUCCGUUGCUGAUGUCCCAUGCCCUCACUGUCCAGUACUCCCACAAUCUUCUAUGAACCAAGUCUUGUUUGAGAAAAUAAGCUUUUCAAAUUUGUUUGCAGGUUCCUUCUUCUAUCCUUUUCUGAAUCCUUCGGUGAUGCAGGUACAUGUCAUUUUUACAUAUUGGGAUCUAUCUUUGGUGUUGGGCUUUUUUUUUUUUUUGGUUUCGGCCAUGUUGGCUGUCUCGGUUAGAAUCAAGGAUGAACCUCUAGAAGAUUUACCAUCUUAUUAGAUUAGAUUAGGCCUGUUACUAUAUUGGAGCUUAUGAACUUACGUGAGCUAUAAGUAACUGUGUCUUCAUUCUUCGAUGGUUUUGGAUGAUUUAAUAAAAAGAGAGAGAGUUAUCUUCUUAUUUA